UUCUCCCUAAAGUACUGUAUAAGGUACAAAUGACUCGGGGCACAUUUGAUAAAGAUGCUUUUUUUCUUUCAGACAUUAAGUGAAUCUGUUUGAAAGAUAAUUGUGCUUGUAAAACAGAUGAGAUGCUCAGGUGCUGAAGGACAAGCUAGUGGGAUGCAGGGGAAGUUGCUUUUCCUUACUCAGCUUUUUAGAAGUAUUCAUUUGAUCAAUGAAACCUGUUCUUGUAAAAGUAAUGUGCCAUGGGUGCGUGUGAAGAGCUAAGGGAAGGGGGAAUCUACCAAGUUCCACGUGAUUUAGGUGGUAAGAAGGGGAUUUCUUUUGACAGUGCUCUCCAUCUCAAUCAUUUCUUUGUCCUGUAUCUUGGCAGCAUGCUUUCUUUUCAGUGUCCCCUUCCUAUUGCCUCUUACCUUGAGCUGAAUAUCAGGACUUAAAAUGUACCAGCACUUCUAAUACCUGGGUAUUACUUGGGAGGCAGGUGAGAUGUGGAAAGCACAACACUUUAAGUAAUCGUUCUUGAGCAAUAAGCUCAAAAAAACAUUUGAGGAGCCCAAAUCUUCCUGUCCAUCUUCUCCCUGGGUUCUGUGCUUAGCUCCAUCCCUGAAGCACCAUGUUUCCACACGCUGAGGUCAGGAUAGCUUCCAGAAUGAGUUGAAUCCACUUCUGCUUUUACAUUUGUGUUUGUUUGUUUGUUUUUUAAAUUGUAUUUUACUUGGGGAAUAUCUACAGUAACUGAUUUGCAAAGCCAUUAACCCGAGAAGCAAUGGAUCAGCUGUGAACAAGGAGCCUGACAUCGCUUCUACACCGUGUGAGGGUGAUAUGGCAUGAAAACUGCUUGUGCCCAGCAGCCGUGUUUCUGGGGAUGUGAGGACUGACCACCUUGCUGUUACAUAGUGCACCCAUUGCUGCCACCUGACGCUUCAGCGUGAGGCUGCAACUCCCUGCUUGGUGCGUGAGGUGCUGCUCCCCAGGACUUUCCUGCCAAAGGGCUUGUGCUACACCAACAGCCAUCAAAAUGACCUGGCUUUAGAGGAGAAAACAAUCCCUUGAAGUUAAAUGGGAUCAUUUCUGAGCGAAAACUGAGGGAUGGAAGUCUAUCCACCCGUCCAUCCCAUCGAGGGGCCACCAUGCUGGACCUGAUAAAACGGGACUGACUGAAGAGAAGACCACAUGCUGCCCUUACGUGAUGAUAUGUGGAUCUCAUCAGUGAACCAGCUUACCCUAAGAAGUCUUGGGUGCUGCUGCAACUAGUCAUCUUCUGCAGCUGGAGGCCCUUCACAGACCU